rnacentral:tRNA from 1 species
GGCUGGAUGGCCGAGCGGUCUAAGGCGCUAGACCCGAGUUCUAGUCUCGAACCAGGCUUGUGGUCGGACCACGCUUCAGUCA